rnacentral:rRNA from 1 species
CAUUGAAAUACUGGUUCCCAUAUGAUCACCAAAGUUAAGUAACAUCAAGCCUUGUCAGUACCUAGAUGAAUGACUGCUUGGGAAUACCAGGUGCUGCAAGC